GACGAACGUUGGCGGCAUGGAUUAGGCAUGCAAGUUGUGCGUACCCAGCAAUGGGAAGCAGCGUAAGGGGCAGUAAGGCAUAGGUACCUACCCCGGGGUCGGGCAUAGCCUGUAGAGAUACAGGGUAAUUCCCGAUGACCUCGAGAGAGCAAAGCUCCGGCGCACUGGGAGGGGCCUAUGUGAUAGUAGCUAGUUGGUGAGGUAACGGCUCACAAAGGCGAAGAUGUCUAGCGGGGGUGAGAGCACGACCCGCGCCACUGGCACUGAGACACGGGCCAGACACCUACGGGUGGCUGCAGUCGAGGAUCUUCGGCAAUGGGCGCAAGCCUGACCGAGCGAUGCCGCGUGGGCGAUGAAGGCCUUCGGGUUGUAAAGCCCUGUCGAGAGGGAGAAAUGCGAAAGCUUGAUCUAUCUCUGGAGGAAGGACGGGCUAAGUUCGUGCCAGCCGCCGCAGUAAGAC
rnacentral:rRNA from 1 species